UUCCUUCCCAGUUCACAGAACCCACCGAGUGCGAUGGAGUACACCGCAGACUGAGGAAUGCUAAAGUAAAGUUGUUGGAUUCGAUUCUCGAAAGGCUGGAAAAGUUGGUAAAUGUUUGGGAUGCCUCGCGCGUCGUCUGCUCCCGGUAAAAGCAGCGCUGAGCAAAGUGUAGCCAUUUCUCAGCGUACGUGAUACAGAGAAAAUAGCAUCGCAAAGCAGUGGUAACUGUGAUCCGUUCUAAAAAUGGAUUCUACAGAUUGGAUUGGUGGGGGGUUACAUUACAAUCCGUUCAUGUUGAGCACAGUUGGGGACAGGUUUUUCCGAUCACCCUAUGCUCAAAAGUUUCCAAUAUCAGCUCAUUGUUUUGUGGUUGGAGUUGCAUAUGGGUAUUGCUGCUAACUCAUCCAAAUUUGGUAUCUUUUUUUUUUUCUUUUGACAUAUUUUAUACAUUAGCAUGCAGGUGGUGAGUGUGAUUUGCUUGCUGGAAUGCAGAUGGAGAAAUCAUGCACGAAACACUAUGGAGAAAUCUCUUUUGGAGUCUAUAUAAGAUGGAACAAAUAACACAGUACAGGAUUUACAUCAGGAUUUUUACUAAAAUAAAGAUUGCUGUUUGUAUGUUGUGUUGGCUAAUUACUGUUUGUGUGUGUAAUUGAGCUGCUCUUGCCUACUAGGAGGAACUUGAAGAUCG
rnacentral:lncRNA from 1 species